rnacentral:rRNA from 1 species
AUGGCGAACAAGAUACAACAUACAAGUGCAACGACAAGGGAGUUUACACUCGAGUUAUUGAAACAAAUUACAGAUAACUUUUCUGAGGAGCAUGUCAUUGGUCGUGGUGGGUAUGGAGUAGUCUAUAAGGGAUUACUGCACGAUGGAGAAGAGGUUGCUCUCAAAAAGCUUCACUACAUGCCUGGGCUUGACGACAAGCAAUUUAUGAACGAAUUUAAUAACCUUAUGAGGGCCCAGCAUCCAAAUAUCAUCCGAUUAGUGGGCUACUGCUAUGGUCUAGGACAUGAACGCUUCAAGUACAAUGGUGAAUAUAUUUUUGCCCGUGUACAAGAAAGGAUUCUCUGCUUUGAAUAUUUGCAGGGUGGAAGCCUUGAUAAGCAUAUUUCUGAUGAAUCCUGCGGACUCGAUUGGAACACACGCUUCAAAAUUAUUAAGGGAAUUAGCAAGGGAAUAAAUUAUCUUCAUAAUGGAUGCAAAGAUUCUAUUUACCAUCUUGACUUGAAACCUGAGAAUAUAUUGCUAGACGAGAACCUGGUCCCGAAAAUUGGAGAUUUUGGUUUGUCAAGACUUUUCCAAACAGAAAAAACGCAUAUCACAACCAAAUUUAUGGGAACAAUGGGAUACAUGCCACCAGAAUUCAUCGAUAGACAUGCAAUCACACCAAAGUUUGAUGUAUUCAGCUUUGGUGUUAUAAUCAUUCGGAUAGUGGCAGGAUUUGAGGGCUAUUCCAAAUGUGAAGAUAUGUCUCCUCAUGAAUUUCUUGAGCAUGUACAUGGAAACUGGAGAAAGCGGAUGCAGGAAACAAUGUCAUCGCAUAUAUCAGAGCAAGUUAUAACAUGCAUUGAAAUAGCGUUUAGGUGUGUGGAGUUCGACCCAGAGAAAAGGCCUACCAUAGCGGAUAUUGUCAAUGAAGUGGAUAAGAUCGAUAAUGCCGAAAGUUUAGCUAUAGCCAAGAACUCAGACGAACAGGAGCACACUGUAGAAAAACAACCGGUGAUUCAAGUACAAGAAAAAAAUAGUACGGAAGAGAAUACCAGAUACGCGAGAACGGAUUCCAUUUCUACUGUCAUGAAAAAGCACCCUUUAUCGAAAAAGUAUUACACAGCAGACCCAGUCGUUGCAAUUGGUGCCAUGGUGGUCUCCCUGCUCCACAAGCUGUGCGAGCUCUCUAGUGAAUACAACCUGGGAGCGAACUUGAAGAAAGAUGAGCACCUUCAAGGGAACUGGAGAACCUUUGUGAUGCGGUGGAUAACAUCGAUUUUAUGA